CAACAGCAGCAGUAGCAGCAGCAGCAGCAUCGGGACGCAGCCCUUCCGGCCCGGCCUGGCCAAGGCCACCGUGGACUCUCUGGCCCUGGGCCUUCGGAGCCCCCUGGCUGUGGCCGGUUCCUACACGGGCCCCUUCGGGAUGGGAAUGGUGCAUUCGGCGGUGAACGGAGACCUGGCGGGCGCCGGGGCCUACACCGGCCUCCAUCUGGCCUCCUCCCAGCUCAACGGGGCCGCCGCCAUGGGAGGGACCGCGGGCUACGGCCGUCCUGCCCUGGUCAGCUACGAUCCUCACUCCCACAUGCGGGUCUCCAGCCUCUCUGCUAACCUGCCCAGCAGCUCCUCAGGAAAACCG